AUUCCUCAGUUUGCAAACAUCUUACAACUCGGUUCGAGCCGGCUUUCUGCUCUUUCGAAUUCUAAUAAAUAGGGCCUCAGCCGGUCGCUCUACUGCUAACAAAAGUUUCUCUCCUUCAGUAGUGGAGAAAGCAGAAACGCAAUUACAUUUUACAUUAAACACAUACAUCAAAAAUGUCAUACUAGAAUUCCAAAUUGAAUCGGUCAGGCAUGCUACGCGUUCUGAAGUUGUGCCAAGCCUUGAGGUUCUGUCGACAGUUUACCCCCCUUUUUUUUAUAGAAAAAAUCAUUAGUUCCCGCUGACAGGUUAAGAUCCCAUAUCAGAUCGUGGAAUGACAACAAAUGUUUUCCCCACCCUAAUCCUCCAUCAGUCGGUUCUCUCUCAUUCAGUUAUAGUACCGCACAGCAACUUCUUGUCAUCUUGCAACUGUGGCAACUAUGUAGUUUUGAGGUGAAUAUCCCAGAGCCGAUCAACAAGCCAACGCACAGGAAAUCGCAACGGCGAAAUGCACUCUGGAAGGUAAAGGUACCAGUCAUCCUCAUCUACCAGGCUCAGAUUACAUGUCAGCAUCGUGCAUUCGUAGUACUCGGGAUAAAAGCCGCUAUCUUCCCAGUCGAUAAUACCAGUGACCAUAUCCGCGCAUGGUAGCACUCUCAUCUUCGAGGAAAGAGCGGAGGAAUUUGAUAUAUGUCUUGCUGCCAUGAUGGCGCGCGGAGAAUUGCAGGUCGCUAAACUCUCUGGCUGUGGUGAUAUCUUUCCAGCGGGCGCAUUCAUCGACACGGUACUCUUUCACCCCUUCUCCACUGACACCUCCAAGUGCAUUGCCAUCCUCCUGGCGAAGGGUCCUCAAUCUACGGAAAAUAUCAUCUAGCUGUUGUUGUAUUGAGACUUUCUCCUUGGGUGAUAGGCUGGACCAGACUUGCGCCAAUGUCAUGUCCGGAAUAUAUGACAUGAAGAUCACGCGAAAGGGUCCGAAUCUGAUUAGGCCGUGGGGUUUGGGGGCUGGGAUGUCGGGCGCGCGUUCUGCGAGGUACUGCAUGGUCGUGUACUCUGUGGUGUCAUUGUUAUCACCUGUAAUCACUUUGGCAACGACUUCCUCAUUGCACUUGACGACCACACCUCUGAUGGGGCUUUCCCAGAGUUUGGGUGAGUCCCAAAGCAGUUGUUUGAGGAAGGAAAUCAGUGCUUGCUCUGCAUCAUCUGGUUCCUCUGGGUGUGAAUACCUCGCAAGAAGAGCGGUAACUGUCUCGGACAAUGGAAAGACAACCGUGGCAGAGUCAGCGAGAUCAAGACGUGUGCGGAACUCCGGAGGACUCUGUUUUUCAGUAUCCUCCGCAGACGGUGCUGUACAGCCAGCAGUCGCCAUUUUAAUCCUGCGAACAUAAUUCUUUGGAAACACAUCCAGCAAGUUGACUUCUGGCUUGUGCUUGAGUUGAUCGCUGAGCUCAUCAACUGUUCUGAGAUUAAUUUUUGCUGCAUAAGAGAGCUCACAAUACUGAGCUUUUCGAUGUUCUCGUCUAUAUGAAUCAGAGAUAAUUGACAUCAGGUCCGCCGCUGGAUCUUUUUCGAGUGCUGCUUGGAAUUCAAGCAUAAGUUCGUGGUUCCAUUGUGCUGCAUUGGGGUGUGUGAGCGAGAGGCCCUGUACAGCCGCAGCCUCAUCCAUAAUUGCUGACACAAAAGCUGGCUUAUGAGGAUAAGAAAUGCUUCAAAGGACGGUUGUGGGAGGAUGGCGGGCACUGAGAUUCUGCUGGGAUUCCGGUGGGAGUUUACCGUGUAAAUAAUUUGUUUGGGAUUUGCGUUGACGCGUCUUCGAAGAAUACGGAGUUAAAAAGGACAAGGGACAACGUGGAAUUCCCAUCACCUGGAGGUUUUUGGACCAAUUAGCGCGGCUUCAUAACUGUAUAUUCCAGAG
rnacentral:sRNA from 2 species